rnacentral:rRNA from 1 species
UGGCCAGACUCCUACGGGAGGCAGCAGUGGGGAAUAUUGCACAGUGGGGGAAACCCUGAUGCAGCGACGCCGCGUGAGCGAUGAAGUAUUUCGGUAUGUAAAGCUCUAUCAGCAGGGAAGAAGAUGACGGUACCUGACUAAGAAGCCCCGGCUAACUACGUGCCAGCAGCCGCGGUAAUACGUAGGGGGCAAGCGUUAUCCGGAUUUACUGGGUGUAAAGGGAGCGUAGACGGCGAUGCAAGCCAGAUGUGAAAGCCCGGGGCUCAACCCCGGGACUGCAUUUGGAACUGUGUGGCUGGAGUGUCGGAGAGGCAGGCGGAAUUCCUAGUGUAGCGGUGAAAUGCGUAGAUAUUAGGAGGGACACCAGUGGCGAAGGCGGCUUACUGGACAGUAACUGACGUUGGGGCUCGAAAGCGUGGGGAGCAAACAGGAUUAGAUACCCGUGUA